rnacentral:lncRNA from 1 species
GUACCGAGGACUGCGAAUAACAUUGACCAGUAAUGUAAACACCAAAAUAUUAUAAAAUUACCCAAUGGUGAUUUUUACAAAUGGAAAUAACAAAACACUCCCAGGUUACAUUUUUCUUACAUACACAAUAUUAUAUUAAAAUAUCUAUGUAUUUUUUGAAAGCAAAAUAGUAAUUUAGUCCCAUCAUACCUCAAAAUGCUAAACUAUAUAAUGCUAUAUUAUAUUUUAUAAAAUUACAAGCAAAGUUGGAAUAUUCUAGGCAAUAAAUAUAAUAAUAAAUACAAUUUUCUGGAUAGAGAAGCAGACUGUUUUCAAAGCCUGGAUGGUCUAACUUUUUUCUUGUACUGAUAACUAAACUUUGGCAUUGUGCACCAUGCCCAAUUUCCUACUUUACUUGCAUCAUUAUACACAUACAUAUAAUUAUGUACAUGUAUGCAAUAUCAAUAAUUAAAAUUUAAUAUUUACUCAACACACAACAAAUACUUAUAAUGCAUUUGCUUUAAUUCAUAAACUAGGCAUAACUGUAUGAUGUAUAAAAUAAUAUUGAAAUUUUAUGCAGAAGUUGUCACUAGAAACGGCACUGAAGCAGGAGUAUAACAUAUGAGUGAUUAGGUAAUUUAUAUUGCUCAAAAACAAUUGUUUAUAAUUUAUUUAUCAUUAAAUAAGUUUUUAAAAAUAAGUAAGAAAAAGGUUUGUAUUUGAAAGACUUCUCAUAAAUGUUAAGAUAGGUAACAAAUAAAGGAGAUAGAUUUUCUGACAAUUUUGUUUUUCUGUUCAUCAUUCUCCCCUAGAAGAAAAUCAUUAACAUACCACUCAAGUGGUGUCACAGUAUAAUAAAAAAUGGCCCAUAAAUUCAGUUUUUAAUGCAAAAGGUUAAUGGGCAAGGUUAAAAUAUACUAAAAGUCAACAUUUUUAUUUAAUAAAAACUGAUGUUUAUACAUUUUAGAUACCUCAAUAAGAGUAAAAAAAAAAAAGUUACUUCUGCUUAAUAAUUUAUCUAAACAGACAAUAUUGAGAAACAUUAUUUCAAAAUAAUCAUUUGAGAAAUUAUUUGUAUAGUAAUAUAUAGUUUAAUAUUAAUUAUACCAAUGGUUCUCAAAUAAUUUUAUUCUACGACCCUUUGUAGAUUUUUAAAAAUUUCGCCCCCUCCUUUUUUUAACAAAUAUAUAAAUUUUAAUUUUAAAACAAGAAAUAUAAUUUAUUUUAUUCUUAAUGUAUAAGAUAAAAUGGUUAAUUUUCCCUAGAUUAGUCACAAUUUUCAAUGAAUAGAUAUUUAAAUUCUCUUAGGUUAACAUAACUUAACAUUGGGAAGUAAAGUAGUGCUAAAUAGUUCUACUCCUGUGUUAUGAAUCAAGUGGGUGCAAUGUGCUUCUCCUCACUUUCUUGUGAAAAAAAAUGAAUCUAACUAAUCUUUGCUGAAAGUGGCCAAGUUUCUUAAGACUCAGUAAUAGGUUUAAAUACAAUAAAAUACGAAAUGUGGCUAUUUAAAAAAGGGAGUUCCUUCUGAUUAGAGUGCAAUCAACUCUCUGGUAGGUAAUUAUAUCAUAAUUAUUAUCUACACAAGCCAAUGCAUUAAAUAAUAUCAGUUUUAUCUCUUUUGGUUAAUUAGUUCGCAUUCAUGCCUUUAAAGUGGACAAUAUUCUACGAAACUGCCGGAAUAAUGCCUAAUUUAAAAAUCGAACAGCGUGUUAAUUUAAAAUUUCUCUUUAAAUUAAAAAUAUCGCCCACAGAAUGUCUAAAGAUGUUGACUGAGGUGUACAGGAAGGACACAAUGUCACAUACUCGAGUUUUUGAAUGGCAUAAAAGAUUUAAAGAUGGGUGAGAAGCAAGUCCAAAUUGAAGGUGAUGCUUAUCGUUUUUUUUGAUAUUAAGGGCAUAAUUAUGAUCGAAUGGGUUCCUCAAAGUCAAACAGUUAAUCAAAAAUAUUAUAUUGAGGUUCUCAUUAAGCUCAGGGAAAGAGUUUGGAAAAUAGGUCAGGUUUGUGGAAGAACAAUACGAGGAUUCUGCAUCAAGACAAUGCGCCUGCACACAAUGCUUUUUCUGUUAAGCAGUUUUUAGUCAAUAAACGCAUUCCAGUACUGGAGGAUCCUCCAUAUUCGCCAGAUUUAGCACCCUGCGACUUCCAAAAAUAAAAACUGCGUUGAAGGGGACUCAUUUUCAAUCCAUGGAAGAGGCGAAGACUAAAGGGGUAGACCUACUUAAGGGCUGGAUAUCUGAAGAAUUGCAACACUGCUUUGAACAAUGGAGAACACGUAUGGAACGAUGUAUAGUAAUGAGUGGGGAGUAUAUAGAAGGGGAUCACAUUAUUAAUUGUAAUUUUACAAAUAAAUUAUUUUUAUAACGAAAAUCCCGUUUUUAAAUAGCCACACCUCGUAUUAUGUUGUAUAAGCAAAUCUAAACUAGGAGUUAUAGAAUUACAAUUCAAUAACUCCUUUAAAACAUUUAUCUAAGCAAAAAUAAAAUUAAUGCUUAAUAGCUAUUAUUAAAUUCAAGCAGAUAACAUUUUGGUAAUUUUUAAUAAGCAAAGCAUAGUUUAAAAAAAUG